rnacentral:rRNA from 1 species
ACGGCAGCACGGGAGCAAUCCUGGUGGCGAGUGGCGAACGGGUGAGUAAUAUAUCGGAACGUGCCCAGUCGUGGGGGAUAACGUAGAGAAAUUUACGCUAAUACCGCAUACGAUCUAAGGAUGAAAGCGGGGGACCGUAAGGCCUCGCGCGAUUGGAGCGGCUGAUAUCAGAUUAGGUUGUUGGUGAGGUAAAAGCUCACCAAGCCGACGAUCUGUAGCUGGUUUGAGAGAACGACCAGCCACACUGGGACUGAGACACGGCCCAGACUCCUACGGGAGGCAGCAGUUUUUUUUUUUUUCUAUGGGCGAAAGCCUGAUCCAGCAAUGCCGCGUGCAGGAAGAAGGCCUUCGGGUUGU